UAAAAAAUGUAAGUUUGUGGUUGCGUCUGGAAUAUUUGCUUCUGGACAGAUGGCUCGUUUCUUCAGUACUGCUAACUACUACUGGAGGAUUCCAUCAACAGUACUUUUUAAACUGGUCAAUCCAUUUGAUGACUGAUUAAAAGCACUGACGAGAACUAUAGCACUCGUAUUAUAUAAUAUUUAAAAGCAUGACAUACGGAAGCUUAGGCGUGAUGUAAUCUGGACCGUGGGACCAAAAGCUUGAUAAGGUUGAGAUUUAUCACACAGUAGUGUUGGGUCAGUUGGAUGGUGUGAGAUUUCUAUGGUAGGCGGAAAGCGGGAUUACUAAUUAGUGAAGUUGAAUGAGUAUGAAAUGGCAGGGAUGGUUUCUCUGAGGCAAACAAGUCAUCUGUGGACUACUCAAUCAAAAAUGAGUGGAAGAGUGGAUUUGUUCGUUUGCUUCUAGUGGGUGGUAUUCUGUGGAUGCUGCUCAUUCUAACUGUAGUACUUUCAUAUAUACAUGCCAAUCGUCUAUUCUUUUCUUUUCAGUGUGAGAGAUGAAGCCGAAGGUUACAUGCUUAAGGAGUUGGCCUUGCUAAAAUCACAAGAAAAAGCUGUAAAGUUUCCAUUGCAAGAAUAAUGCUCUGGAAAUGGUAGAAGUUCAAAUGACCUUGCUUGGAAGAAAAUAUAAGUUCUAAAAGGUUGACAAUGCAAGUAGACGAAAGAAGAUCAAACGUUCAGAGCUACUCGAAAGAAUUAAAAAACGAAAGCAUCAGCUGGCUAAUCAACUUUUUCUUUUUUAAUGCCUUUGAUCUUACGUGCCUUUGAAUCAGAAACCCUCACGGGAGAAAGCAGCCAAGAUCACAAGAGAAGGCAUGAGGCAUGAUCCAGAAAUUGAUGGCCGUAUUGUAUGGGAAAGGUUGACUGUCUGCCAGGUUUUCGCACUGAACAAGUGUAGAGUAGCUCUAACAAGUAUAGAUGAGAAAAUAUUGAUGUUAGUAUAUGAGUUGGGACAAGUAUAACUCAAUUUCUUUUUAAGUAUUUACAUUUGUUCAACUUUUCUAUAUCAUUGACUUUCAUGGUUGAAUACUAUAUUGAUGAAGAACUUGACUUGGACAAAAAUUAAAAUUUGGUGCUGACCCAAU